UCUUAUGGAUGAGCAAAUAAAGUAGUUUUUUGAGGUGAAAUUUACUUCGGUUGAAGAUACUGUGAA
rnacentral:pre_miRNA from 1 species